GGGGCGUGGACGGUUUGAAUGGGGGCGCCCGAGAAAUUGACAACAUUGGGAGGGUGCCCACGUGGUGCGCUCCGGAGGGCGGCAGGGUGGGCGGGCUGACGAGGACGUGCUUUCCUUUUUUUUAAUUCUUGGCUUCUCUUCCCCUUUUUUUUAAUUUGAUGGAUAUAUAAGAUAAUAACAGGUAGGACGAGUACCGACUAACGAUCGAGUUCGCUCUGCCCGCAGUCACUGUUUGGGAGUUUGUUCUUUUCGACGUGUGCCCUGGUCGCUUCUCCUCUCUCCGCCCCUUGGUACUUGCAGCUUUUGGAGUCUUCCAUGUGCCCGCUGCCACGCUUCCCUUCCUCCCAGAGUAUUUCUAUUGUUCGAGACACA
rnacentral:lncRNA from 1 species